rnacentral:rRNA from 1 species
UGGGCCUACGGGACGCAGCAGUGGGGAAUAUUGGGCAAUGGGCGCAAGCCUGACCCAGCAACGCCGCGUGAAGGAAGAAGGCUUUCGGGUUGUAAACUUCUUUUCUCAGGGACGAAGAAAGUGACGGUACCUGAGGAAUAAGCCACGGCUAACUACGUGCCAGCAGCCGCGGUAAUACGUAGGUGGCAAGCGUUAUCCGGAUUUAUUGGGUGUAAAGGGCGUGUAGGCGGGAGGGCAAGUCAGAUGUGAAAACUCAGGGCUCAACCCUGAGCCGGCAUUUGAAACUGGGUUUCUUGAUGGCUGGG